rnacentral:rRNA from 1 species
UACGGAGGGUGCAAGCGUUGUCCGGAUUUAUUGGGUUUAAAGGGUGCGUAGGCGGUCUUUUAAGUGAGCGGUGAAAUCCUCCAGCUUAACUGGAGAACUGCCAUUGAUACUGGAAGACUUGAGUACAGACGAGGUAGGCGGAAUUGACAGUGUAGCGGUGAAAUGCAUAGAUAUUGUCAAGAACACCGAUUGCGAAGGCAGCUUACUAGACUGUAACUGACGCUGAGGCACGAAAGUGUGGGGAUCAAACAGG